rnacentral:rRNA from 1 species
ACUUAAAUUGAAGAGUUUGAUCAUGGCUCAGAUUGAACGCUGGCGGCAGGCCUAACACAUGCAAGUCGAGCGGUAGCACAGAGAGCUUGCUCUCGGGUGACGAGCGGCGGACGGGUGAGUAAUGUCUGGGAAACUGCCUGAUGGAGGGGGAUAACUACUGGAAACGGUAGCUAAUACCGCAUAACGUCGCAAGACCAAAGUGGGGGACCUUCGGGCCUCAUGCCAUCAGAUGUGCCCAGAUGGGAUUAGCUAGUAGGUGGGGUAACGGCUCACCUAGGCGACGAUCCCUA